rnacentral:lncRNA from 1 species
CCGUCUGUAAUGUACCAGAUUUAAUGUAAAAGUAAGCAUAAAUAAAGAUAGUGUGAGAUACUAUUUUUAUUGGAUUUAAAAAAAUAAAAUAUGAAUCGGAAGUGACUCGUGCUGAAAUCGGAAUGAAAACAAAAAAAAUAGAAUUUUCUGUAAAGAACGGGGUUGAUAUUUUAGCAGAAAAUUCACAGUGUCAGAAAAUUAUGAAAAUCUGAAAAUAUGUCAGAAUUAUUUUUAUGAGGCUAGAUUUAAAGUUUCAUGUCAUUCUGACACCCGGAAAGUAAAAAAUAAAAUCUGACUGCUAUAUGCUAGAGAUUUUAGUUCGGUAGAGCUUUCGGUGACCAAAAAUGGUCUAAACUGGAAAGUUAAGAUAUUUUCUUUAUAAUUAGCUUAAAUCGAGCCUAACUGUCAAAUUUGAGCGCAAACGGACAUUCAGAAGGGCUCCGGCGAAAAGUAUCAGAUUCUGAGCUGCUAAACUGAAAUUAUGUUAAUGUUGAGGGGCCUAUAUAUGUAACAAUUGUUCCUUCCCCUCUCCUUCUUCCUCCACAGCCGAACACUCCACAACAAAAACACACACACACACACACGUAUGGUAUGGAGGAGAGAGAAACCCUCCCCUUCUCUCUUAAAUAUCUCCCUCAUCUCUCUAGAUCUCUUUCUCAAAUUCGCGGUGUUGGCAGAGAACGAGCUUGGGAACGCGUGUGGAGCGACGGUUCGAGUCUUCGUGCGCCCUGUUGAGCGGCGUGCUUCCGACUCGGCAUUCACAAUUUGGUAAAUGUUAGGAUUUUGGUUAAAUCCUUAAUACUUGGCGUUCUAGUAGCCUCUAAUGUGAUAUUAGCAUAUUUUUUUCAUUUAAUUUCGGUUAUUUGGAGUAUAUGUAGAGGUUAGGGUUUAAAAUGAGGGUUUGGAGAUUAGAGGGUUUUGAUCUAGUUAAACCCUAUUGUUCUCUAAUUGAAGGUUAGAGAUGGGCCAUUGAUGACCCUAGGUCGCGGAUUAGCGGGUGUUUGGUUACCGAUUGCGAGUUUGGGUCGAACCGGGCGGCGUGCGCCGCGGGAGGCCGAUUGCAAGUGACUACAAGCAAUCGGAGAGCGUUGCGAGGUGGGUUGUGCUCACCGAAGUUAUUAGCUCGCUUCCAUAUCGAAGCGAAGUGAGAUUGGUUAUUGAUGCAUAUAACGAUAGCUAAUUAUAAAAUAUAUGAAUGCUAUGUUAGGCUACCAAGAAUGCAUAUGGACAUAAUGUAAAAAUGCUAAGUAAUGCAUGUUGCCAUAUUAUGGAAAUGCUAGAAAAAUGCAUAUUGGCCUAAUGUAAAAAUGCUAAAUGAAUACAUGUUGCCAUGUUAUAGAAAUGCUAGAAGAAUGCAUAUUGACAUAAUAUAAAAAUGCUAAAUGAAUACAUGUUGCCAUGUUAUAGAAAUGCUAGAAGAAUGCAUAUUGACAUAAUGUAAAAAUGCUAAAUGAAUGCAUGUUGCCAUGUUAUAGAAAUGCUAGAAGAAUGCAUGUUGGCCUAAUGUAGAAAUGCUAAACGAAUGCAUGUUGACAUUGUGAAAUGUACUAGAUGAGAUAUGCAUGUUAAUAUGUGUAGAAUAUGCUAGAUUCACGUAGAUAUGAACUUGAGUCGAUAACUCUAGGUUGAUUAGAGAACUCGACAUUGGGGAACGAGAACAUAAUAGCUAUAGAAACUUGAUGUGGACAAAUAAAAUGUCAAGUAGAUCGAGUGGCAUUGAACCUAGUGUCGUGGACAUAGGUUGGACAUGAGUGGCAUUGAACCUAGUGUUAAUAAACGUAGUUGAACAAGUAAACCUAGAAGUUGAGAUCUAGGUAGAGAUAACAUAGAGCCUAGCGUGGUUGAACCUAGGUUGCGGAUUAUAGUUGUAGCAGGGCCACUAGGAUGUGCAUAGGUCGAACCUAGAUAGGUCGACAGCAUAGGAUGUGUGACUACCCUUGAGAUGUGGAAAAUGGAUUCCGAAAUCCUAGAAAUUUUGGAACACCAAGAGUAGGUGUGGGGUGUGUGCGACGAUUUCGCCGCCCGGGGCUAAACCAUUGUUGGGCGUGUGCGACGAUUUCGCCGCCAAAUGGUUAAGCCGGUUAUUGGAUUAUGCCGCCAGAUGACUUGAGCCAGUGUUCGGUGUGUGCGACGAUUUCGUCGCCAGGUGGCUAAGUCAUGGAGCGUGGUGGGCUGUUGUAGCAACCAGUGCGCGGUAGUCCGCUGAUGAUUGACUCGAGGCCGAGUCGUGUGGAUCGCUUGGUUAAGGUGGUAGAAACCUUAAAAGCUAAUGAUAAAUGGCAAGAGCUAAGGUAAUAGAGACCUUAGAAGUAAGUUGGACUUGAGUUGUGAACCUAAGUUAGUGAAACCUUAGAAGCUAGUCAAUACGAGCUAUGGAUAGCGAGUAGAAUCGGUUGAUCUACUUAGUUGGUUGCAUUAGUCGCAUGUUUGCAUAUUUUGCAUGUUGCAUGUUGUGAGGCAUAGUCAUGUAUUUAAUAUUGCAUAAAUAUCUAUGGAUAUCUGUUGGACUAACAUGAUUGCAGUACCUCCUUGGACCUGGUGGGUCGAGCUCUUCCCUUGGGUGGCCGUACCCACUGAGGACUAUGGACAAUAGUUCUCACCCCAUGUGGUUUUGGGGUUUUAGGUUCACACGCGAGCGGCACGGCGGCGCGAGGAAAGGGCGUAGCUCCCUAGAUAGCGCCUUACCCUUGGACCAGAGAUAGUGGUACCCUGAGGUGGUCUAACUAGGGAUUUAAAAGAUAAAGAACAAACUUGUAUUAAGUGUUGUAAUAACUAGAUUGUAAUUUGAAAGUUGAAUGUAAGCAAAAUGUAAUAUGUUAAGAUGCAUUUGGGUUGAAUGCUUGUAAUAGCAUAGUAUUUAUAUUUUUGAUACUUCCUUAUGCAAUCUGUAUGUUGAAUUCUGUUUCUGGUUGGAAUAUCGUGAAUUGUAUGGAUUGUGACACCUAGGACGUACAGGGGAGACUCUGUCCGUUCGACGGUCUAUUGGUGUGCCCAAACCCUACCAAAUAGGCGGGGCUCGGGGCGUGACACCGUUAUUUUUCAAAAAGUUAUCAGAUUUAGCUUCAGGAGCUGUUGUUUGUAUCACCGCUGUUAGUGCGUAUUGGAUACACAGAUUAGUGUAGAGUGAGUCUACGCUCGUGCUAAGGGGCCGAGCUCAUUUUACAGUAGUGUGUAGACUGUUUCAUACUGUCGGGUGCCAUCGUGGUUGACAGUGGACCCAGAUUUGCAUCAGAUUGUGCCAAGGGCACGUGAGCUUUGGUUGGUAGACCAAUUAGACCCAUUUGCAUUGAUUACAACCUGUGAGAGGUAGGGAUGCAAAUGGAUCCGGGUUGGUGGAGCUCCGCCCCGAUCCGCCCCGAAUGGGGUGGUAAGUGGGAACAAAAAAUAUAAAAAAAUAUAACCCGCCCUGAAUCCGCCCCGAUCCGCCAAGUAAAUGGAGCGGGAGGUGGGAGACUCUUUUCUUCCUUCAAUCCGCCCCGAUCCGUCAAAAAUCCGGCUCCCGCCCCGAUCCGCCCCGAAUGGAGUGGUAAGUGGGAGCCAAAAAUAAAAUGAAAAGGAACCCGCCCCGAAUCACCCCCGUCCCGAUAAGAAAUGGAGCGGGAGGUGGGAGAACUCUCCCGCCCCCGGAUCCGCCCCGUUUGCAUCCCUAGUGAGAGGCCGAUUGAGCUCUGCAGAGACACGCUUUCAUACUCGGUUGGAUCGCGCGGUUUCUUAUCCAAAGCACAAUGUUUCGAUCCAAAACAAAUUCUACAAGGCCAAACCAAGCGAAAGCCCACUCUAGCUCAAAUUAAAUCUAAUACAAGGGUUCAAACCAAUUCAACAUGAACUUGACCUAAACAAAGGUUCAUGCCAAAUCUCGGGUUGAUCCAAAUCAAGCAAACUAGCUCCGCGUGAAGUAAAGAUAAACAAGAGCUCAAACCAAGCUGAAUAAAUUAAUCAACUGAGUCACUUAAUUGACUCAUAAACCAGAAUCAAAUUAUCAUAAAGUCACUAAAUUAAACCAGCCAAAUCUGACUAUCAAAUCAUUAAACUAAGCAAAUUAAUCAAGUCCAAAUUAAACCAAACUCCAACUAACUGUUGUGUCAAUAAACUAAGCAAUUCAAAUUAACUAACCAUCAUGUCAGUAAGCUGAGCAAAAUUAAUGGACUGUGAUGUUAUUAAACUAAGUAAACAAAUCAACUCCAAUGCCAUAAAACAGAGUCACCCAAAUUCGACCAUAUUCAACCUAACUUCAAUUGGCCAAAAUGUCAUUAAACUAACUAGCUCAGUUCCAAUCAACCGAUUCACAUAUCAUAAAUUGGAGUAACUCAGAUUCAGUCAACCAUCAUGUCAUUAAUUAAGCCACCAUCAAACCACUAAACUGAACAUGUCACUUUUAUAAAAUUUAUGUACAGUAAGGAUAUGCUCCUGCUUAAACAAUGUACUUAACAAAUUAUAGUAAUAAAACUUUUACCUUUAUAUUUUGGUCUUUUUCUACGAUCAGCAUUUUAUUUAGUCUCUUAAUUGAUGAUUUCUUAAUAUUACAAGUGGAGGAUAAUUAAUAGUAGAUUUCUGCUUAAAAUAUGAUCCUAAAACCUGAUUUCAAAUUAAAAUGUAAACAAAUUGAUUUGUACCAUAAAUGACCACUUGCUGGAGAAAACAAGUGGCAGGUCAGACCAUUGGUGGCGGCACAAGUACCAAACAAGAAUUUAGGAUCUGCCGAUCCUAAUGUUGCUCUGGUACUAACUUGUUAAGUUUAUACAGCUCACUAAAGCAUGCAUCAAUUCCUCAAGGGACCAGAAUACAUACCUCACUUGAUUGCAUUAUUUAUAAUCUCAUAGCUGCUCUCCUGUUAACUAACUAUUUUUAACAUUAUUACUUCUCAAAAUCAUGCUAAAGGGAAAGAGAGACCCCUUAUUGGUCGAGCACUCAUAUAGAGUUCUAAUAUGAUAAAGAGUUCAAACAAGUAAAGACUAAACUCCAAAAGGAUGCUAAUUCAAGAUAGAAGCUUGUUUUCUUUAUUUAAAAGGUGAAUGGGUGGAUAAGAUUACACCUCUUUGACUAGUUUGUUUCACGUUUUGGAAUGGCAAGAGUGUCACCAUACCACUUGGAUUUGGAGGGCACAAGGAAAUUGCGUUUCUUGAUAAUAUAUAUAGAACAAGACAUUCUAAUCAAGAAUAAAAAUGAUAAAACCUCAGUGACGUGUGAUAAAUAUCUAUUGAAAGAAAACUCAAGCAAAAUCCUCGUCAUUUAUAACCGCGAUAAUUGAAUGAAAACUAGCCCUUCCAAAUGACAGAUUAUUCAUCGACGGAGAUGAUAUUAUCAUUUACAACAUCCAGGUCCUCCAUACUAGAAGCAAACCCCAGCAUCAUUAUAAUGAAUGGUAUCACUCACGCGAGUAAUGUGACAGCACUUUACAUUUACCAUACACGCGAACAUAUUUCUUGCAACUAGGUAGUACGAGUUUAGUUUCUUCAUUCACAAUGAGAAAAUCUCUAACAAAAGCAGCUCUUCCAAACCAUAGUUAGUUAAUUCGGAUUCGGCAAAAAUUCGGUACGGGUAUAAUUCGGAUAAAAUUCGUUUUUUAAUUUUUAAAUUUUUUGAAAAAUACGGCUAAAAAACGGAUGUGGUAAUUAUUCGGAUACGUAAUUUAUACAGAUAUUAUACGUUUAUCAAUUAAAAAUUCGAAAUCAAAAAUUCGGCUAUAUAAUAAAUAUAUAANUAUCUUGGAAAAGCAACUCAGUUUUCACAAAAUGAGCACUGAUUACUAUCUUGCAUCCAAAGCACAUCUCAAAAGAAAUAUAUAUAUAUAUAUAUAUAUAUAUAUAUAUAUAUAAAAUGAUUAAUGAGAGGGAGGUCCACCGUGGACCUCCCUCUCAUGUGGUCCACGAGGCCACAAAGUGGCCUCGUGGACCGCGCACAAGUAUGCUCAAAAGCCCCGAUAUUUGUUACUGUUUCUCUUCCUCUUUUUUUUGCGGACGGCGGCGGCGCGAGACGGCGAGAGGGCAUCUGCCGUCGCGGCGGCUCUUGCUCCCGGUGCCGGCCAGGACGGCGGAGGAGGAGGAGGACAACCCGGAGUUCGGCGACGAGAGCGACGACGACGCGACCCUCCGCCGCGAAUCCGCGACGACGAGCGCGGCGCCGACGCGAGCGGCGAGCCUCGGCCGCGAAUCCGCGACCGCGAGUGCCGUUUUUUUAGUCGAAUCAUUCGCGAAUUGCGAAUAAUUCGCGAACAAGUAUUUUUGAGAAUGAUUUGGCGUUUUUUUCCGAACUUUUCGAAAAAAUACGGAACGUGCCGUUUAAUACUUAAUUUUUAAAAUUCGCGUAUCAUUCGCGUUUUAAUCGCGAAUUAACUAACUAAGUUCCAAACAAGUAGAAAACUGUAGGAGGUUUUGACAGAACAUGAAAACUCAUAUUCACAAAAGUCGUAACUAUUUUAUGGGAGCGAGAAGUGAUUUUACAGCAAACCACACUAGUAGAAAACUGUAUUCAGCUCAAGUAAUUUCUUCAACAAGCCAGACAGACACUCCCCAGAGAAGAUAGCAGUAGUACCUGCUUCUCCAACAUAUAUUCUUAAACAACUUAUCUACUCGACCAAACAUUUGCAAACUAAAAAGGCCAAAGCAAAAAAAGGCAAAAAUGAGCAUCUGAAAUGCUGAGAGACCAUACAGAAUAAUUAAGUUCCAAGUUGGAGAAAUUCUAUUGAAAAAAACUGCUUACAAAAACCAGCCCCCAGAAAAAAAGAGGGAUUGAAAAUAAAUUCCAUUCAAUCACGUAGGAGGUACCUGAAUGCAUCUUUACAAAACCUGGGAGAGGGUAGUAGUACUUGUGUAUUAUACAGAAAAAAGAAAAAAAGAAGCACAAUAAGCCUUUCAAGAGCAGUUCCAAAAAUUAGUGAGAAAGACUUAAUAGGAAACUAAAAAAUAUUUAAGUUCUUUCACUGCUUAAACUUUGUCAAAUAUUCUUUGCUUCUUUCAGAGGUUUGUGCGUAGCUUGUCGAAGAUUGGGUGUUCCAUUACUUCUUUUGCAGAAGGCCGUUUUAGAGGGUCUGGAUCCAUCAUAGCCUAAGAAAAAAGGCCAAUCAACUAAGUUUUAGAUGCUAUAAACAUACAAGGAAAUGGCUAAUUAUGAGCUUACAUUGUUAAGAAGAAAUUUGGACAACAGCUUAAGACCUAAGCAUACAAAUAUACUAAAAUCCAACAUCACGUAGCAACGUCUGCUAUCUUAGGGAUUUACUUCGACAGAAAAAAAGAGUUAAUAAAGAAACUAUCAACACUAAUUUAUAGGUUCAACAUCCAUUUGUUUGUGAAACUACAAUACUGGAAGAUCUGGAAAUUUAAAUAAGUUUGUAAUAUACGAAGGAAGACAAUAAAAAGAGCUGAAAAUCACUUCCAUGACAAAGCUUAGAAAUUCUAUCCGUAAAAAUUGUACAGAUGAUGAUGACGACGGUUGCAAUAAUGAGUUCACACAAUCACUAUAUGUAAAGAUUGUAAAGAUGAUGAUGACAACAAUGACGAUAACAUUAGUAAUAACGUAAUAACAACAGCAGCAGGAAAAAAAAAUUUAAAAAAAUUACCUUGAGUAAGCUCUGGAACUGUAGAGGGUACCCAGGUAGCAAAGAGAUUUUGCCCUCUCUAAGAUUCGAGAAUUGAGGUCCAGAUUCAGGAAGAGGUGUUCCUUUGACAAGCUCGUACGUUGCAGCUCCUAAAGAGAAGAUGUCGACCUUAUCCAGAUGCUCAUACUUGUCAUUUAACAUUUCUUGAGGCAUGUAUCGUGAAUCGCCUUCUUCAAUACCUAAACUACGAUCGAUUAGAGUUGCGCAACCAAAAUCUCCAAGCUUAUAUAUUCCUUUUUUGAUAUAUAUGUUCUCUGGUUUCACAUCUAGGUGGGCUACACCAUGCUUGUGCAUAAAGUGCAACGCUUUAGCUAUCUGAAACAAAUAGCAAUUAAGAGAUUUUCAACUGUUAGCAUGUAAAAAGGAAAUAUUAAGCACUGAUAAACCUGGAUGUAUCAUGAUAUGCACUUUGUACCCCUCGACAAUCAAAACAGAAAUACAUAACCGCCCACUUAAUAAGAAGCGCUCGCACUCUACCCUCCUCUACACUGGUAAUGACCAAACAUUGAGAGAAACUAGGGGAUCACAAUACUUUCAGGGGCAACCUGAAUUUCAGCUAAUAAGUGAAAUAAUCUGAAAAGUACCAUGAGAUAAAACCAGUAUUUAAGCUUGACAAAACUAUAAGUAACAGUAUCAUAAUGAAGGCGGCUAGAUUAUUUUUCGCUAAAUUAAAUAUGUUUGAGACAGAUAACUUCAAUAAUGCAGAAUUCCAUUUCAGCUUUUGCCAAAGAGGGGAAAAAUCUCCAGAAAAAGCUAGACCUGAAGCUGAUUGAUUAUUGAAAACAAUAAGCAAAACACUGGGAAAAUACACUAAAAUUGGAGAUGUACAAUUGUAUCAAAAAUCACUAUGUAAGCUUUAAAUCUUUCCAUAGCUGUCAUUCAUAUAGGCGCAUUAAAUUAAUAAAUUUAGAAGCAAUUUUAAUCACUAAAUAUCUGCAGCGUUCCAACAUAAGCAGCCUAUGGAUGCUUCUGCUAUCUACAAUAAUAACUCGUUGAUUGUCUCUCGGUAAAGUUGUCACAAUUUCUUUAACCUCACAAUUUCUUUAACCGACAAAUAGUAUUAUAUUCGCAAGCUCUUUGCCAAUUAGCAUUUUGGUCCUCAUUCAUUAAAUUUGAAGCCUUCACAUCUUGGGAAGAUACAUGAUUUCCACCAACUCCCGUUACUGGACUUACGUAAAUGAGUACAGUGAAACACAUUAAUUCAAUGACGAUAAUACAAGUUAAAGGCCUAGAAUUAUAGCAAAAAUUGGCAAAUGGCUCAGGGGCUAGCAAUGUUAAACAUGCUAUACAUACAGCCAUAAUGAGAACUCAACAAAUUAAGACAUUGUUGGAUUGCAUAAAAGAAAUCUAACAAUCAGAAAGAAAAAAAAUAUACAAAUAUAAAGAGAGCAAAAGAGAGAGACUUUAAAACCUGGUAUAACAUUUCAAGGACCUCUCCACAUUUAGGUGCAUGACUUCUAUUGAUGGAGAGACUCCGUUCACAAAGUUCUAUCUGAAUAUAGAGUUGCUCAUUCUCAAACCAAGAAGUGUAGUAUCUGACUACAUUAUCAUGAGAACCUAGACAAGAUAUUAAUUCAAGUUACUUCACAACUAAAAUUAUGAAUAGAUAAAGAGAAACAUUAUCUACAGAUUUAACCUGGAUAAAUGUAUACUGACACAGGUAUCCACAAAAUCUAAAUUUUCAUUAAUAACCUUUGAGAACAUUAUAGUGUAUAAAAACAACCUUGUGCAUUGAAAACUCCUUACUGCACAUAAGUGCUUCUAAUGGAAAACCAAUUUUCUAGCAUGAAGCAGAUCACUCCUUACUUUGAUAUUGUUAGUUUGCAAAGAAAAUGAACUUUUGAAGGGCGUAUGUCAAAAUUCAGACUUCAUAGGAGUACAAAUUAGAAUAGAUGAAAUUGCACGACAUACAUGUGAGGGCCCCGUGAAAAAUAAAGAAAAAUUAAAUGAAGCUACCUAGGGCUGCUAAAGCUUGAACUUCCAUCAAUGCACGUUUCCUGCAAAGUAAGAUACGAUGUUACAUAAAUAUUACCAAAAAAAAGGGAAAAAAAAAAAAGAUAAGAAGUGAAUUCACGUUAAAUAACUACUGAAUCAAAGAGUAACUACCUGUCCAAGUCAUUACGCAACUGCUUGAUGCUAUGUUUCACAGCAUAUAAACAGCCAUCUAUUCUCUUGAGAACCUUAAAUACGCGACUGAAAUUACCGCAACCAAUUUGCUGAAUAAAAAAAAGUAAAUUGAUAAACUAACUCAAAAUUCUAAACAGUGACAAUAUUAUUAUGCAAAUGAUUAGAAAGCAGAAAAGGUUAAUGUAACAGGAAUCCACUUGGCAAACCUCGAUUUCAUGGAAAUCAGUGCGGUAGCGCGAAAGACUUUCACAACCAACUGAUGGAGAAGAACCUGCGUAUAUUGAAGUUGCAUCAUCUUUCUUUUUCUAGAACAAAAUUAUCAAGUGCAAUGGUAAAGUUCUAUCACCUUAAGAGGCACUGACAUCAAGAACAUAUAUUGCAAAAUAUCCACAUAAAUACGAGGGUAGCCAAAAAUAACAGCUUUUGGGAAAAGUGAUUUAGUUAGAACAUGAAAGAAAGCAUUCAUUCAGUUUUGGGAACAAUAAUUUUUGGAACCUAGCCAGCAAUUGAGACACAUUAGUAUAAUAGUGAGUCAUGUUAGGUAUAAUAAUGCUCAUGCAAAAUCUGCAGUUGAGAUGUUGAGCUCAUGAUAUCUUAAAAAUUUCAGACACUGAGUUUAGCAAGUGCAGAAAUGUAAACAUAAAAUUUUUACGGUGAAAAUGUAUAGACCUAACCAUAAGCACAGCGCAUUUUAAAUAGCCACAUGAACUUUGAAAUUUUGAUUUCAAUACCUAUUCAACUCUCAAAAUCUAUCUACAGUAUUUUAUAUUGUUUUACUUUUUCUCGUGUAGUAUCCUCUAACCUGAUGAAGUACUAUAUCACCUGAUGGAAAAUUUUAUAAUUUAUUCGACAGAACUAGAUAAGUUUUCACAGAACUUGAUUGAAUUUUCUAAUAUCAAAUGUCAUCAAAUGUUUACAAAUAAUAUCAAAAUUUUAGAAGCUCAGGUAUAUAUUUUAAACUCCACUAUAACUUCAGCAUUCAGUAUGUAUUUACAUUUUACAUUAGCCCAAACUCUAUAAAGAAAGACAGGUAUCAAACCUGUUAGCUUUGACCUUCUGUCACAGAAAAUAUCGACAUCAAUUGCAGAAACCGAAUUCAGAUAUGGAUUUUUGAUGCAAGGCGGGGGCAUAACCCGGCAACGCAGAGCUACCGCUGAUUGAGAAACAUAACUUUUCUUUUUUUGCGAACCAAUUUGCAAUAACUUUUUCUGCUCAACUAACUCUGAGCCCGGAAUAUCUAACUGCACUUCUGCAAUCAGCCGAGGAUUGCUUGGUGAGCAAUCUGCAAGAAAAAAAGGUGCAAAAUUGCAAUUCAUUAAAGCAGUAAGGACAAAGCAACAACAGAAAGUAUAAGAUAAGAAAAUUCUUUGUAGGAUCAAUUUAGUUAUUUUAAGGAUGAAGCAGCAUCCCCUCCAGACGGUAGCAGAUAGUAUGGCCAUUAAGCUUAUUAUUGAGCAUCACAAACAAUUGAGUCCGGACCUUAAAAUAUUUCAACUUUUCAGGAUAGUACAUGUUACAAGAGGAAAAUUACACGUGCAAAAGCAGUAAGAACAAGGCAACAACUAAAAACAUUAGCUGAGAAAAUGCCAUGUGGGAUCACUUCAGUUAAGCAACAAGCAGCAUUCGCAUCAAAGAGUAGUAGAUAACAUGAAAUCUUUUGUCGUAUUAGGAUAUUCCCACAUCCAAGCCAGCCCAAUCUCAGCAUUUAGUACCACUUUUAACAGAGAACUAAAGUAAGUUAAUUAGAAACAUAAAGAUCAUCAAAUCAAGCAAUCAGACUAACAAGCAGAUGGAACAGUAUCUGAUCGAUCUUACCGCGUUUGUACCUCUUGCUCCGGGCAACCACUGACUUCUCUGGCGAUUUGGGACACGAAAUGUUCUCCUAUCAAUACAAUCAUCACAGAUCACAAAAAGGGUCAAAUAUCCAUUUUCAAAAAUCCGAUCUUUUACCUUAUUGAGCUCGAAAUUGUUCGAGAUCGGCUGUGCGUCCGGCGUAAUGUAGUCAGGGGUGCUAUAAAAAGAGAUUUGAUCGACCUCAGAGACACAAACCUUAUAAUAAUAACAAAUUUGAAGAAGAUGAAACCCUAAACGAGCUAUUACCAGAAGAAAUCUUGGCUCAGGAUGCAGUAAUCUUUGUCCUCGAGCAAUGCUGCGUCGUCGCCCUCGGUGAGCAAGGGGGGGACAUCGGAGGGAGCUCCCAGAAGCUUCUGGAAGAGCGUGGAAGCUUCCGGGGCGGAGGGGAGGGGGAGGAGGGAGACGUGGCCGAGCUGGGCGGAGAGGUCGCCGGCCGGAGAGCUCCCCGCCAUCGCCGGCGACGUUACCGGAGUGGGAGCUCCUCUUCUUCGUCUUCUUCCUCCUCCCCUCGCUUUGCUAGGGUUUGGAGUUUUCGCCCUCAUCGCCUCCUCUAUUCGAAUGGCAUUCCUCUGCUGCUUUAGUAGCAAUGCCUUUUUUUUUUUUUAUUUCUUUUUCUUUUGGAGGGUCGCGAAGUGUUGUGUAUAUUUUUUAACUUAAAAUAUACUUAUUGCGUAAAAACGAAUUUGAAUUGAAUUAUUAGUAGCUGUGGAGCGAAGGCGGGAAAAGAAUGAUGUAAUUUAAUUGACAUUUAAAAAAAAAAAGAAAAAAAGAAAAACACAAUUAAAUACGAUGGAAAAAUGGAUGCGCAGUCGUACUAAUAUUGCAAAUUCGUUGUUAUACAUUUUCUGGGGGCCAAAUUACAAAAUCUACUCCUGCACUUCGCCCCUUGCCGCAAUUUGGUAUGCUUUGGAUCUUGGAAUUACCAGAAUUUCAAAUUGGGCCAAAAACGUACGAUAAUUAUUAAACUCAAAUUCAAAACUUUAUUAAAAUGAUUUGUUAUAUCAUAUUUGCUCUAUAAUUGAACAUUUAUCUAAGUUAAACUUCGUAUGAUAUAGCAUUUAUCUAAGCUAAACUUCGUAUGAUAUAGCUAAAUUUAAAUAAAAGAGAUCUUUUUCUUAAUAAGAGCUAGUAAAAUUAGUUGUUUAGGGUCAUUUAUUAAAUUUAUAUGAUUAUUUUUUGUAAAAUAUAAGCAUUCGUUCACUAUCGACUAGCUUGUUUUUAUGAAAUUUUACAUCCAAUUAAAUCAAUCUACUAUUAAAAAAUUUUGAACUCAUUUGACGUCACAAUGGCAAAGUGUGAGAUUCUGACUAAAAGUUAAAAGCCUUUCAAUAAUAGAUUUUUACUAUAUAAAGAGAAGCGAAAUAGCUAGAGACUGUUAUUUAAAAAAAAAAAAGAAAAAAGAAAACUUAGGGACUUACAUGUAGGGGUGUAAAACGGGCCGGGGGGCACGUGGGCCGCCCGGUCCGGCACGGCUACGGGCCGGGCCGUGGCCCGGCACGGCCACUGUAGCACCAGGGCCGGGCCGGGCCUGGCUGGUUCUUCGGGCCGUGCUGUGCUGCUUAUCUGGGGCCCGACGGCCGUGCCGGGCCGAGAAGAGGCCGGUGGCCCGGCACGGCACGGCCCGGAACCCCAGGCCCAAGGCAAAGUUGCCUUGUGCCUGGGUCUGCUCUCCUGGGGAGGAGGGCUUGGCCCUCCUCCCAAGGAGAGCUCCUCCCAAGGUCUGCCUAGCAGACCUUCGGAGGAGUGAUUUUGGUCCAGUGGACCAAAGCAAUUUUGGUCCAUUGGACCAAAAACCCAUCUCAACUUUUUUUUAAAAAAAAAUAAUACAAAAAUAUAUUAAAUAAAUUUAAAUAUUUAUUUUUUUGUAAUUAUUUUUAUAAAUUUUAAAUUUUUUAAUCAAAAUAUCAGUUUAUAUAAAAAUAAUUUAUUGUUUAUAUUUUUUAAAUUAUAUAUAUAUAUAUAUAUAUAUAUAUAUAUAUAUAUAUAUAUAUAUAUAAUAUAUAUAUAUAUAUAUAAUAUAUUAAAAAAAAAUAAAAAAAGGGCCGCCGAGCACGGCCCGCCCGGCACGGCCCGCUGCCUUCCGGCGAGUGGCCGUGCUGCCGAUCGUAGGGAGUUCGAGCCCGGCACGGCCCCGCCCAGAUUUGGUCACGGGCCGGACCGGGCCAGUCCCCAGCCCGUUUCGGCCCGGAAAAUGUGGGCCUGGCACGGCCCUCAUUACACCCCUACUUACAUAGAACAUAAAAAGUUAGGCCAUCUUAGAAAUUAUCUAAUAAGCUUAUAUUAAAAAUUAAUCUUUUUUCUUUUUUUUUGAGAAAAUAUUAAUAAGUUCACAAUUAAACGGGCUGUAAUAUCUACAACCCCUUAACCUCUUAUACUAGGGGUUGUAGAGUUAACUAACAUUUUAGGUUUUAGUUAAAUAAAAAAAAAAAGUGAUAAGACUAAGUAGACGAAAAAAAAAAGAAAGAAAAAAACUAUGUGAACACUCAAAUGUGGGUGUACAUCCUACUCUCCACUCAUCCAAAGGUGGGAAAUUGUCUACUAGUCACAUGAUAUGACUUGUAGGGGGCGUUUGGUUCGCGCUAUGAUAGAUUACUAGGAGGAAUAAGAUGCCCAAGAAUUUUCUUCCUACUCAUCUUAUUACUAAGGAUAUAACAUUUCGAUGUUUGGUUCGCACAGUCAUAUCAUCUAAGAUUACCAAAAAGAUAGAUUAAUGUGUUUGGUUCGCGCAGUCAUAUUAUCUGAGAUUACCAAUAAGAUAGAUUAAUGUGUUUGUUUCAUUAGCUAGCAAUAUUAGUAGUAAUAUAAAAUUAAAACUAACUAGUUCAAACAAAUUCGACAUAUAUAUUGCAAAUUAACUUUAAAUUUGCAUCACAAUAUUCAAACAAGCUCAAAGAUUCUAAUAUUGAAACAGUAAUAGCAUCAUCAUCAAUAAAGACAAAAAAAUAAAAAUUUUUAAGCAACAUCAAAUAUCCAUAACAAGUCCAAACAAGAAAGCAACAUCUAUCAUAGAAAGUAAAUAACAAAUAAGUUCAACACUUCAUAGACAUUGAAAAUAUAAACAAAAUACCAAAGUUUAAUAUCCUCUAGUCAUUGCAAAAUAUAAAACAACUUCAUUUACGUGCAGUUAGAACAUACUCAAUAUAGUCCUUUCUAAACUCUGCAGGAAUUCCGUAAAAUCCAGUUAGUUUGGUUGUAUCAGAUAUUAAGAUAUCGUAAGCAAUCAUACGAUCCUUAUCGACGAGUCCCUCAACCUUCAAAAGCUCUUCAAACAACUUUUCCUUUCAAAUUGCAUCAGUUGCCAUAAAUUGAAAACAACCAGCUAAUUUAGAGAUACUUUCGCUAGCAUUUCCAAACAUGCUCUCAAUGGAGCGUAACGUUGCAUUAAAAGAUUCAUUGAUCGAGUCAUCUGUAGCUGAGGAUCUUCUUUUUCUUGUUUUCCUUGACUGACCAGCACUCGAAUUGGUUGGCCCUAAACCGCUGCUUUCAUCUGCAAUUGCCAUCUCCUCAUCAGGAUUUUGAGCAGAUGCUCUUUGAUUGGUUUCUUCGCCUUCAAUAUUUGCGACAGCAUCUGCAGGAGAUUCUGCUGCAAUACCGGUUGCUCGAUCCUUUCCAAACACUAUCGAUAACUCCUCAAAAUAGGGAAAAGACUUGCCUCUCAACCCGACGGCAUUCGGAUGACUCUACAACAACAUUCAAGAUGUCAGACUUUUAACUUGAAAAAAAGAGGAUGUAUUUAUUUUAACAUUUUAAAGAUAUUGAAAUGUAAGAACAAAACCAAAAGAAAGGAAAAAAAAUUCCAUACCUUAACCCAGUUAUCAUAAACAUUCUUGUCACAUUCAACACAUUUGUUCUUAUCGCUCCAGCCAAAACCACUUGCGCUCGGUCCAAGCAUCUCAAAAAUUGCAUUGUAUUGUCUCUUCCAUAACUUAAAUCGAGAUUCAAUAUGAGGUACUCCUUUGAGCUCACAAUCUGGAAUCUUCUCAUGCAUCCAUCUUUCCAAUUGUUGUAGAUAACCAUUUCUAAAUGUUCCAUUGUCAGCCCUCCAUUGUCCCGAAUUACUAAGAUCUAGUAGGCACUCAAUCAGUUUUUCGUCCUCGUGCUUAGUCCAUUGGUGCUUAAUUCCUUUGUUUUUUGCUUUUGAUGUUUGUUGUGAUGACACUUCCUCCAUCCUAAUAAAGAUUUGAUCAUAUAGAUAUAUAAGAAAAGAUAAGGCAAAAUAGAUAAAUCAAAAUUAAAUAGGAAGCAUAUAAAGAGUAAGAUUCAAUUGUAGUACGAAAGUAAAACGGAGUAUAAGAAAAUAGAUAAACAAAAAGUACAUGAAGAUGACAAGUACAUCACAAAGAGUACCUUGUAUUUAUUCUAACAUCUUUAUUCUGACAUCUAAUACUAAAGAGUACAUUUAACCCCUCCAUUCAUUCCACAUUUGUAAUGCUAAAUCAUCUCGCCGGGUAUUCCAAGUAUCGGAAGUCUCAAUAUAUGUUAUGUUGUCUCCUUGUAUUUCAUUAGUUGGGUCAAUUUCACCAAGCUCAUUCUCAUAUGGAUCAAUUGGCAUCUCCCUACGAAUAUGAUUGUGAAGAAGAGCACAUGCUGAUAUGAUUCUACAUGCAACCUUCAAAGAUAAUAAGACUUUCCUCUAAGUAUUGCCCAUCGCCCUUUUAGUAAUCCAAAACAUCUUUCAAUGACAUUUCGUGCGGACGAAUGUUUAUAAUUGUAGAAUUCUUGCGGAGUUUGCGGCUCCCUAUUUUGCCUCCACUCGCUCAGAUGAUACCGUUGACCUCUAUAUGGCGUGAGAAACCCUUCGCCAUUUGGAUAACCAGCAUCACAAAGAUAAUAAUAACCUACAUUGCAUUAAAUAAAUUAAAUAAUUAUAGAUAUAAAUAAUUCUAUGAACACCCUAUUAGACACUUACCUUGGGGAACCCUUAGCCCAUUUGAUCUUGAGAUGGCAUCUCUAAGCACCCUAGAGUCUGAGGCUGAACCCUCCCAGCCAGGCAAGAUAUAGAUAAACUGCAUAUCUUGUGAGCACACUCCUAACACAUUCGUCGUAAGAUCUUUGUUUCUAUUUCGAUAUCUAGCCCUAUCAACUACAGGGACAUGAACAAGGAUAUGAGUUCCAUCUAGUGCACCAAGACAAUUCUGCAUAUUAAAAUUGUGCGUUGUUAUUUGCAUAUUGAAACUAGUCAUAUAUUUUUCAGUUGAUUCAUGAAAAAAAGGAAUUAUACCUUAAACCACUUCCAUCUUUCAUCAGUUGAGUUCUCAGAUAUUGGUUCAGGCCUUUUUAGUAAAAUUCCAUGGCAUCGCAAGAUAGCAAUUAAGACAUUACUAAAAUGUCUACUUAUUGUCUCCCCUGAUCUGACAAAUUGUCUUUUAAUUACCCUAUUCUUCACAUCAUGUGCAAUGAUAUGUAGAAAGAAAGACACCAUUUCCUCUAUUCCCAUAUUUCGAGUCCCGCUCAAUCUCCCAGUGGUCGAUAGAAGGUCACAAAGUGCAUGAAAUGCCCUUCGAUCCAUAUGAGUGUUCUCAUAACACGCCAGAUCAUUAUCAUAGAUUAUUCUCCUAAUAUUUAUAUGUCUUAUGAAGUGCCUUUGUAAUGCUUGUCUUCCUCCCCAACGGUAUCUCAUGUGUUGUUUAACAUAAAAGAGUACCACCACUAAUUUUAAAAGUAGCAAUAAUCUAACCAUCUCCAUAUAUAUCAUUAUAAUGCUCACGACCAUGGGCAAGAAUUCAUUCGAAGUUAGAUCCAUCUUCAACACAACUAAAAUAAAGCAAAUAGAAAGAAAAAAUUCAGUCAAACUAAAUUAAAAAGCAGUUAACUCAAUUUUCUUUUGCUAGUAUCAAAGAAUUAACUUAUUCAUCUGUUCAAAUUAACUAAAGCAAAUACUUUUCUAGCAUAUUCGAAAGCAUGAUGUUAAAUACCUAGGAAUAACAAAUAUGCUCAAAGAAUACUGGAUCUGGUAGAUAAAAGAUCAAUUAGCUAUAGGUUUAGUGCAUAAAACAAGGAAUCUAAAAACUAUUGAUCACAAGCAGAAGAAGCAUAAACAAUAGUUGUAUACACAAUCUUGGUCCUCUGAAAAUUGACAUCCCAUAGUUGCCUAGCCCACAUGAGAAAAUUUAAGAUGUUGUAUAUACUUGUAUACACAUUUUAUAACUUUUACAAACAAACAGAAACAUGCUUCUCUUUUGUUAGCAAUUUUAAAGUCCAAGAUGGUUGGUAGCCACCAAUAUGGUAAAGAAAACAUUCUAAAAAUGCUCACGUUUCAGGAAAACUAUAAAUUAGAAAAGUUGAUAAGUAGUUUAACCAUAAAAAUAGUCAAAUAUUAUAUAACCGGAAAAAGAAUUGACAGCAUCCUUACAUUAGGAAAAUUAUUAAUCAGAAAAGUUGAUGAAGAUUUACAUGAGGAUCCAAUUUUACAGAAAAUUCAUUUACCACUCAUUGGCAACUACGCCUGGGUUCCUGAACAAUGCUAUCAAGUCACCAAAAACUAACCAAGAAUAUCCUCCUACUCUAAAUAUUAAGGUUUACCACGUGUAGGGAAGAAACAAGCUGGAAGGAACACACCAAGAAAAUUGAUUUGUGUUAAGGUAAUUUAAGAAAAUAAAUUUCAGGAAAAAAAGAAAGUAGUUGUCUAAAAACAGUAAGUUAAAAAGAAUGAAACAGUACGCCAUAAUUAGAAGAAACAGAAACAAACAGACAAGUAAGCAACCAAUUAUUAUGCCUAUACAAAACAGUCAACUAAAGCAAAGGUAAUAUUAGUUAACUAUUCUUCCAACUGGAAAUCUCAAAAGGUGCAGUAAUUAUGCUGUUAUUAUUCAGAAUAACAGCUCAACUCCUAUUCCUCAUUAACAUUAAGCUUUAAAAAAAAAAACAGCUAAAUUUAAAAGGGUCACUAUUGAAUUUUACAAAACUGUCAAUUUAAUUGAUGUAAGUAAUUUUUUAAAAAAAAUGAAAGUUCCUAGGAUGUUAAUGGAAAGAAAAAUAGUUAAAGGAUCUAUAUUAAGGUGACCUAUAGAUGAGAACACCUCUGUGCAGUUUUAUUUAAUUAUUGUACCCAAACCAAACUACUAUAGUGAAUAGGAGAAGAAGUAAACAACCAAGCCAUCUUUAAACAACAAGCAAAUACUUUUACACAGAAAUGGCGAAGAAAUUACCUAUUUAAACAACAUUUUAUAGCACUAAACCUAUUUAAACAACAUUUUAUAACAUCAAUACAAACUAGAAAGAUUUUGCUCAUGGCAUAACAAUAAAUCCUUCAAAAAAUCAAAAAAAAAUUGGGAUCUGAAAUGGAAAAAGGAAAUGGAGAAGAAAUUACCUCACGAACCUUGUUUUGGAGCAAGGAAAUCUCAGAAAUGGCGAGAUAUGCCGCUACGAUCGGUGGAGGUGAUCAUGGCAUGGAUGCCCUAGGUCGAGAGAAGAGGUCGGGAGAGUCUCGCAUGGUGGAGAUGAUCAUGCCAUGGAUGCCCUAGGUCGAGAGAAGAGGUCGGGGAGAGUCUCGCAUGGUGGAUGAGAGUUUUGCUGUGAGAGGGGAUCGCGACGGGUUCGGGGAGAGUCGCGUGAGGGGGAUCGGGAUGGGUUCUCAAACGGGGGAGAGAGGAGAUAAUAGGAUUACCCCAAUAAUUAAUGUGAGAUAACUACCCUCUCCCAAGGGAAUAGGAUUAGCACUUUGGGAUUAAUCUCAUUACCAAGUGGGUUUAAGAUUACCAAAUAGAUUACUUAAUAUAUUUUGCCAAACGCCGUCAUAUUUUCACAUGCCGAUUGGAUUACUAGUAAUCUUAAAAGAAUAGCGCGAACCAAACGCGCCCGUAGAGUAAAUCCCAUUGUUGAAUAGGAUGGGUAUAAAUUUGCAGCCACUUUUGGGUGUAUACCUAGCAUCGCUUAAAAAAACAGAGCCUUUUUUCAUUAAAAAAAUUUACUAGUUUUGACAUUUUACAAAAGUGGACCACUAUUUUGGAUUUUCCAUAUUCAACCCAAGUUUUCGGAAAGCUGAUCAAAAUAUCUUUAUUCCUUUUUUUCUUACUUUUUUUUUUCCACUUCGACCCUCAUCGCCUCCUCCACCACCUCUAUGGCACUCACGAUGAUAACAAGCGCGAUGCCGCCCCCUAUUCCUCUGCCUCCCUUUGCCUCCGCCUCCAUCGGCGCCGGCAUUACUGCGGUGCCACCUCCUCUUCCUCUGCCUCCCUUCGCCUACACCUCCAUGGGCACCAAAGGAGGACUCAGAGUGGGUGCGGGUAAAAGCAAAGCGGACGGCGGCGAUGAGGUCGAUCAUGACGAGGCGGUGAUCAUUGUCACUCAUAAAGGUGAGGACGAAGAAGCGCCCGCGCUUCUCCAAGAAGCGAAAAAAAAUGCAGAGGGUAGAAAAAAAUAAAUAAUAAAUAAAUAAAUAUAUUAAUUUUUUUGAAAAACCAUAAUGUAUCGUUGCUGAUACAAGAAAGGCCAAGAACCAGAGAAGAAAAAAGAAGAAGAUGAAGUUACAAUAUUAAUAUAAAGAUGCAUUGUUUCACAAGAAAUUGCAUUGUUUGAGACAAAAAUUACACUCUUAAAAAUAAAAAUUAUACUUUUUGGAUGAAAGUUACACUUUUGGGUGAAAGUUACAUUGUUUGAGUGAAAGUUGCACUCUACAGCCUUCUCACCAUGGAGGCCUAUCGUACCAUCAUCAUCUCAAAACAGCCCCUCCUCGCCUUCAUUCUCGUGCUCCUCUACACCCUCGUGGCCCUCAUCCGCUUAAGGUGCUCUUCGGCGUUACACUCUACCUGCUCAAUCGCCCCGCAUUGGUCGAGCUCGGCACCGUGCCCAUGCUUUUCUCUCUCGUCAUUAGGAUGGGCGCAGGGAGAAAAACAGCGAGGAGAAAACGACGGGGGAUGUCCAAGAGGUCGAGGGUGCGGAGGUGGAUUUCUUCUCAUGGGCGGUUGAGCGAGUGGGGGCCCCGGGAGCGCAGAAGAGGGCGAGGAGAGACGAGGAAGACUACUUUGAGAUGAUGCUAGGGCAAAGCCUCCACAACGAGGAGACUAUAGAGUGCAUUUUUGCUCAAACAAUGUAAUUUUUACCCAGAGACUGCAACCUUCAUUUCAAAGAGUACAAUUUUCAUCUCAAAGAGUGCAAUGUUCAUCUCAAACAAUGCAAUUUUUUUUGAAAUAGUGCAGCUUUAUCUUAACAGUGCAACUUCAUCGAUUGGGGUCCUGGAUGUUCUUCUUUCUAAGCAUUUUGCCAAUAGAGCGAGGGCAUCCUUUUGGAGUGGGGCGUUUACUUAAAAAUGACAACUACCUCUUCAAGCAGCGGGGGCUUUGCACGAAAGCAUUUUUUCUUCCUUCUUUUACAGUUUUUAGCCUUUCUUGUAGUAGCGACGAUACAUAAUGAUCUUUCAAGGAGAAAAUUUUUUUUUUAUUUUUUAUUUUUUUCUACCAUCUGCUUCUUUUUUUGUUCCUUAGAGAAGUGCAAGAGCGUCUUCGUCCUCACGCUCACGGGCUACAACAAGCACCGCCUUGACCACAACCUCAUCACCUCCGCCCACUCCGUCCUCACGUGCGCCUGCUCCAGGUUCUCCUUCUUCAGCGACGGUGUCGGUGCCAGCACCAGCAGAGGCGGAGGUGGAGAAAGAGGAUAUGGCGCCGCCCUCGUUACCGUCAUUGAGGGCUGCAGAAACGGUGGAGGAGGUGAUGAGGGUUGGAGGGAAAAAAAAAAAAGGAAUGAGAGAAAAAAAAAAGGGAGGGAACAAAAGGAAUAAGAAUAUUUUGGUCAAUUUUCUAAAAAUGUACGGUAAAUCUGCAAAAUAGUGGUAAAAUCUCAAAACUGGUGAGUUUCUUAUGCAAAUUGGCCCCAAAAAAAAACCCCUGAAUAAGGGAUUGUAAAAUUACAAUCCAAAAUAAAGCAUAUCUCUUGUAUUGCUCUUUUUCUUUUGAAAGGAAAAUGCUGCGUGUAUAUUAAUUCCAUAGAGGUGUACAUUUCACACCUUGGGACCUUUUAGAAAACUCCUUUGGAUUUGCAAUUUUAAUAAAAAGAAAUUCGAUAAGACUAAUGAAUAAAUAUUGGGCACAAAAUUUAGGGUAUAAAAUUUACACAUCUUUUUGUCAUAUAUAAGUAGUAUAGCUCAAAGAGAAAAAAAGAAAAAAAAAAGAAAAAAAAAAGAAAAAAAAAAAAGGGUACUAGUACACCGCAAAUUGGUGUGCUAUCCCAUGGGUAGAAAUCUUUUCCUAAUCACAUGAUAUGACUAGCGAGACCAUCCCCAUUCUAGGAUGGGAAUGUUUGAUGUACACCCAAUUUGAGAUGUACAGAUAUAUAGUAUAUAUAUAUUUUUUUAGAAAUGCCACUAGUACAUCCUAAAAUAGGAUGCACAUCUUAAACACUCCAUCCAAAGGUCAUCAUUCUCUACUUAUCACAUCAUUUUUCUUUUACUAAAAAUUAUUUGAGUUUUUGAAUAUCCUAAGAUGAAUGAUGCAAAAAUGUAUAGAGAUCCCUCAACUAGUGGCCUUAUGAACCAGCUCCUUCUACUUUAACAUUUAUUGGCACAUCAUUAGUUCUUGUUCAACAUUAUUUUUUAAAGGGUAAACUUUAAAUACCAUCCUUGUGGUUUUGCACUUUCUUACUUUAGUACCCUGUGGUUUAAAGUGCAUCAAGUUAGUGUCCAAGGGUUUCAUUUUUAUCUUUUUGUCAGCUUUUCCAUUAAUAUUUCGUUAAAUUAUAUACAAAAAAUUUCAGAUACCCUACCUAGGUUUAUCGAAUAUUCACUUUAGUACCCUUUAGUUUUAACUGUCACUGAUUUAACGAAAAAAAUUAGUAGAAUCGAUAAUAAAAAGAUAUAAAUGAAACCACAAGGUACUAAAUUGAUACAUUUUAAACCACAGGAUACUAAAGUAAAAACGUAUGAAAUCACAGGGGUGGUAUUUGAAGUUUUCCCUUUUUUAAUAUUAGUUUUAUAUACUUUGAUAUACGGCAGAAGGAUUUGCUAUUAUUUGCAUGGUUGGUUAGUUUGCAAUACAUACGAACCUAGUAAUUGAUUGCAACUUUUUAAAAACAUGCCUGGGAAAAAAUUUAUUCUCUCAAUUAUAGUUUAUUGCCUAACAAUUUCUUUGAACAUAAAAUUAUAAACAAUCCACCAUAGAAUUUUUUUAAAAAAGGAAAGAAAGUGAAAGAAUAAAGAAUAUGUUUUCUUUUGAAAGAGAAAGAGAGGUAGCAUACUACCCGCUUCAUUUUUUUUUUAGAAAUAACUUAGUUAGAAAUGUGAAUCAACUAAAAUUCAAACUUGGGAUGCCGGGUACCAACCACCAAGUCUUUGCCAGUUGUGUUAGGGAUAGUAAGUAAUAAAGAAAAUAUUAUAUCACUUAAUUACUUCAAUAGGCUUUGAAGUUUUAGGAAAGGUCAGUUUCAGUUCCAUACUAGAGACUCUUUUCUGCUGAAUUGCUUAGAAAGUAAGUAUAUUUCCUUGAGUUAUAAAAUGAUCUUUUUUUAUUUUUUUCAAAGAAAAGUGGGCCAGCUAUAGCUGAGACUACUAGACUUUCUUAAGGGUUUACCUUUUUCUUUCAAUUGGAGGGUUUUGUUUACGAAGGAAUUUCAUGAAAUGAAACUACAUAGGUUUGCCUUACUAUAGGUCAGUUUUAGUUCGAGAAGAAUGACAGCUUUGACUGACAAGAUAGGGUGCCACGGAGAGGAUUUUUUGAAGUUCGAGGUAGGGAAGGUCUCAAAAACUCUUUAGUAAAGGAAAAUGACAAAGAACCUAACUAUUGGAGUUAGAUUUUUAUACAUUCGUGCCUUUCAAAUGUUGUUAUUUAUGUUUCUUAAGCAAAAUAUAUUAGUGAACAUUAUAUUAUAGUGGGACAUCAAUUGGACAAGACAAACUUACAUUUAGGGCUUGAUUCAUGAUGGUACACUCAAGGUCCUUGACAAAAAACCUAUGUAGCUGGUAAGCCUAUUUAUUACAUGUGACACAAAUGGUAUGAAUUUUUUAUUAUAGAUUGUAAGAGUCAAAAUGAACUCAACAAGCACUUUAGUUUGUGAGAGUCACUCUCUAUCCAUUGGCUCCUGGAGACAUAGCCAAGCGAGGAUGUGACUGUUCGCUUCGCCCUAAUUGUUGAGUGCUCGUGAUGCCCUACUGCCCAAAGGGUCACCCAUUCUAGGACUACUCUAGUCUUAGAAUGCUUAACUCUUUUAACCUUUUGCGCCAAGCAACUGCCCAAAAUGGUAUAGCUGUGUUAAGAGUUUUAUCCAUAUUAUAUUUUAUAUAUGGGACAAUUUGGGGUCUCACAUUCUCUCCAUUGCCUUUUGGAGAUAUAGCCAAGCGAGGAUGUGAUUGUUCGCUUCGCCUUAAAUGUCGAGUGCUUGUGAUGCCCCACUGCCCAAAGGGUCACCCAUCCUAGCUAGCACUACUCUAGUCUUAAAAUGCUUAACUCUUUAACACGGCUAUAACAUUUUGGGCGGCGGUUAGGCCCAAAAGGUUAAGAGAAUUAAGCGUUUUAUGCUAAAGUAAUCCAAGGAUGGGUGACCCCCGGGAAGUAGGGCAUCACAGUGUCAAUAUGGGUUCUGUGUGUGAUUGUUUAACGUUCCACUAAAUAUGGCAGCAGCUUGAAUAGACCUUGAUUGGUCGGGUUAAGUGGCUGUUGAAUAGUCAACGUAUAUUCAAAUAAAUUGAUACAUGCAUGUAGAGAUGAUAGUUGAUACAAUUUAUACAAUAGAGGCAUAAUAGUUGACCUUACUUAUUAUUAUCAUUUAUUUUUUUCCACAUCUAUUAUCUAUUGUUUAUGCCUCUAGUAAAUCUAGUAGAUAGAACACUCUUUGAGGUGAUUGUAUCUAUCUACUGGAAAUUAUUUUAUACUGUUUUGUUGUUUUUUUUUUCAAAGUUUUCUUUAUCCUUUGUGGAUGAUCGAGGUAAAAGGGUCGCGUAGUAGUUAGCACUCCACCCUUCCUUUUCCUAUGUCUAGAGAUAGACUCUUUUAUAGAAUCUUGGUAUUUUAAAAAGUGGUAAUAUCGGACUAAACUUAUAAUAGUUGACUUGAGAUUUGUAGUUGUAAUAGAAUAGUGGUUUUAUACUUUGACAUUAUAAGUCGUAUGAAACUUGUAUUGUUUGUAUGAGUUGAUUUAUGGUUGUAACACUUCGUGUGUUGGAUGAUCAACCUUGUGCACAUGGCGGAUCUGGAUACGCUACCAGGAAUGGUUCCGCAUGAGCCCAAAGCAUGAUAGUAAUAUUAGAGAUCAAUAAGAAAAAAAAAAAAAAUCUUUACAUAUCACUACAACAAAAUAUGUUUUAGACGAUGCUUUUUAGACACUGCUUUAUGUUAGCAUCUUCAAUAUUUGGCAUAUGCCGACACUAUGAUUAAGUGUUGUCAAUAAACAUAUUCUUUUCAAAUAUUGAUAAAAAUUUUCCGACGCUGUAUUAAAGUGUCGGUAUAUUUAUCCUAACAUAUUUACUUAACUACUCUUUGCUUGGCGCUUUUACAAGCGUCAAGGUUAUUCUUGCCGACACUUUAAAACGUCAUUAAUUAUUGUUUAAAGUGUUCUUAAGUGUAAGAUUUAUUGUAGUAUAUUGUUUUAUGAUAUAUGUUGUACAUCUCUAAUAUUUUGACGUUCCAAAUUAGUAAUAAUAGUUAAUGAUCCAUUUCAAAUUGGAUGACUGCUGUCCACCUUUCAAUAACAUAAAUUUUAUGUAGGAUUGUCUCUUUAAGCACUUGGAGAAACAUUCUUAUUAAUUAAACUAAAACUAAUAGAAAAUGUUGUUGCUUAAUUUUGGUCAAAUAUCCUCUCUCUUUUUGUUUAUGUUUUUUCUUUCUAUUUUUUUUUCCUUUUCUUUUAAAGUCUAUAGGCAAUGUGUGAGAGCUUUUGAAUUUGAUCCAAUUUUGCAUGAAGUAGUUGCACAUUGAGAGAUCCUUGAUUCUUCGAUAAUCCUCCAAUAACUUUACUUAAGUCCAGAUUGGAUUCUGACACGGCCUGUUUCGUGUCUACUCGACCUUAGUCAGAUAUUUACUAUGUGUUAAGAACUCGUUAAUUUUCUCUAGCAUUAUAUGAUGUUAUGGUUGUCUCCUUAAAGAGAAGCUUGUAGGUUGCCGACCUUUCUUAUUUAUUGUGCAUUAAAUAAAAAGGAUAAGAACCCAAUGCCAUGUUUCCAACUAUUGCAUGGUUGCUAAGCUGCUACAAACAUUAAGUCAGUGGGUAUCUACGUUUGGCUUCUUAUAGUAACUACCAUGGGGGCAUCUAACAGGAAUAUUCCACAGUUUUACAAAUUUACAAAUAUGGUUUGCGUUAUGAGGGGCUCGAUCAUGUCGUUUUGUAGUUAUUAGUAUUUAAUGGAGGGAGAUUAAAAGAUAUGAACGAGCCUUUUAUCAAAAAAACGAAAAUGCUAAUUGAUAAUGGGCAAUUUGGUCUACUCACUUUUGUACCAUCUACAAUUAUUUGAAGUAUAUAAUUACAUAAAUUUCUUGACAACUACCAAAAUUAAGUUAAGAUCUACUGUAGACAUUAUUUAAGUUUGUGGUUGCUAAUCAUUUGAUAAGCUGCUACUUUCUUUCUUUAUUAAUUUUUUUAAUCAACCAAUCCUGAAAAAAGUAGACUAGGAUUUUCUAUUCAGAUUAUGCUUGGAUUCGGAUUAAUAUUUUCUAAAGACUUUUACAUAAUAGGCCAAUCCCUUUGUAAUUAAUCAUUGUUUUCAUUACUUAAUAGAUAAGGGAGUUUUCUUACUAGUUUCUAGCUUAAGCUAAGUUAGAAGAGGUCCUCUUCCUUUUGGGGCAAGGAAAUGUUUGUUAAAACAAAAAGCAGAGAAUAUUUAGUUUGUCGAAUACGAAAGUACCAAAAGAGAUUAAGAAAUAGAAGAAAAAUAAAGCACACAAUAUUUACGUGGUUCGGCCACUGACCUACAUCCACAGGUGAAGAUGUAGCAGAGAUCUUCGUUAUAAUCAAAGUAUUGUACAAAAUAUGUCUUUCUCACAAAACCAUAAUCCCAAAAAUACACCCAUAUUGUUACGAUAUAUUUAGGAUUAUAUGGUACGUAAUCCUAAUUAUAUUACAGAUAUAUAUAGUGUAGGAUUAUAUGGUAUGUAAUCCUAAUUAUAUUAUUACUAUUGUAGGCUUAUCUUUUAUACUAUAUUUUCAUCAAUACAACCCAAGUGGGUAUGCUCUUUUGCUAAUUGUUGCCAUAUGGUGUGUCCACAUUGGCGGGUCUUAAUUUAACCCGAUCUACAUAAGAUGGAUUAUAUGUUUCUUAUUAGUUAAGAAAUGUAUCUCCUAGUGGAUAUCUAUUAUGGAUAUCCUAAUCAUAAUCUCUACGUGAGAUUCAGGAUAUUUUGGGGGUUCCGUUAUUCUAUAAAUACGUCCCCUUUUCUCUCCCGUAUUAUAUAUGAUCUGAUACGAUCUAAUUCGAUCCACGAUAAAUCUUCCUUCUUCUCUCUCUUCUUCCUCUCUGGUAUCUCCACCUAUGUUCCCAGGGUUUUGGAGUGUGGACAAAGAAGAGGACUAUGGUAGCCCUCUUCGAUUGGCAUCCGCCGCAUCCCAUCCGUAUCCGACGCAUUCGAUCCGUGACGCGAGGCGUAGGCGUGGGAGAAGGCGAGAAACGUGGGAGAUCUAGAAGCAUCAAGACAAGGACAAUCCAAGAAGGCUAGUAAAACAAGUAAUCCAAUCCGAUUCUGGUUCCUGGAUACGUUGGCUACCCAGUUUGUAAGUUUUCGCUGCCCUACAAUUUCCAACACCAAUCUUUCAUGGUAUCAGAGCGGGAACUCUAAUUUGGGAAUAUUGAUCCAUAGCUACCAUCCACCACAAAUCUCACCUUCUUCUAUAGAUGUUUUCUUCUUUGUGUUCUAUUAUUUCUCCUUGUUUCUAGUUGUCUACGGUUGCUCAGUCUUCCAUAGUGUCACUCUGCCUUCCCUAGUGCAACUUGGUCUCUUGUUGGUUUAUUAAUGGUGUGUGGUCCUCCUUGGUGCUGCUCGGUCCAUCUUUGGCUUUGUAGUGCUGUUCAGCCUUUCCUUGGUGCAGCCCAGCCCUUUUUCUGGUGUUGAGUAGCCCUUCUCUGGUACACUGGGUGCUGCUUAGUUUUGUGGACGCUUGGUUCUUCUCUUUCUCAACUACUACUCUCCUAUUUGUCUUUCUUUGAACUCUUGUGGUGAAUUUUUCCUGUAGAGGUAAACAUGUCUUCUUCUAUUUCAAAUUUACCAGUUGUUAAUAUCAAAACUAUUGUACCAUUAGAACUUACUGAUUUCAUAUAUUUAGUGUGAAAACAAGUCUUUCUUAAUGUCUUGAAAAGUUUUGGUGUUACUUCAUAUGUGGACGGAACUGAUAUUAUACCUUCUCAGACUAUAGAUGCUACUGAUAAGAAGGUGAUUAUAAAUCCUGAUUAUUUAAGUUAGAAAAGGGAAGACACCACUACUCUCAUGGAUUAAUGCUACUCUAUCUCUUGGCAUUUACAAAUGGUCAUUUCUAGUUCACCCAAAAUUGCAUAUGAUACUUGGCAAACCUUUGAGGCAUACUUUCUUGAUAAAAUUGCUUUUAUGGCUUUUUCUCUAAAGUCUGAAUUGUGAAGCAUCAAGAAAGGCUUGAUGAAUAUGUGUGAUUACAUGCAAAAGAUCAAGUCAAUUAGUAAUGUUCUUUAGGCGAUUGGUGAAACCGAGUCAUACCAUAAUUUAAUAAUGACUAUUCUUCUAGGGCUACCAGAAGAGUAUAGGGGUUUUGUCAGUGCCUUUAAUACACAAAAAAGCAAGCCUAUUUUUGAACAACUUCGUCCACUCUUAAUGCAAGAAGAAAUAAAAGUUCAACAUCAUACUAGCUUGAUGACGUCACCUAUUACUCUCACUAUUGACAAUGAAGCACUUUAUGCAAAUUGUGGAUGCGGUAAUUGUGGAGGCCGUGGGGGUAGAUAUCACAGAGGCCAAGGACAGCACGGUAGACACCACUCUUAUCUUGAUCGUUGAUCUCCUAGAAUCUACCCGCAUCCUCAACCUAAUAAUCCUCAUCAACCUUACACUCCAAAUAAACAACCUUACAUUCCAAAGUCUGGCACACAAUGUCAGAUCUGUGAAAAGUUUAAUCAUUCUACCCUCUAGUGUAGACAACGCUUGAAUAAUUCUUUCAUUGCUGAUAACAUUCCUCAGACUUUUGCUGCUAUGAACCUCCAUGAACCUGGUGAGGAAGUCUGGUAUCCAGAUAGUGGAGCGUCUAAUUAAAUGACUCCCACUUUUGAUAUUCUCUUAUCUUCUAAACCUUAUAUUGCAUACGAAAAAAUUCUUAUUGGUAAUGUAAAUUUACUUGAUAUUACUCAUACAGAUGAAACUCGAUUGAAUACGUCUUCCAACUCCUUUGCUCUUAAAAACGUUUUUGUUGUUCUUUUUAUUAAGAGAAAUUUACUUUUAGUGCAUCAAUUCUGUCAUGAUAAUAAUUCCUUUUCUAAAUUUGACUUUUUUGAUUUUGUUGUAAAAGACAAGCUAGGAAACAGGGAUAAAGCUGCUUUGAUGCCCUAAUCCGGGAACAUCACUCUAUCCAAUCUUUUCUAAAGUUGCAAGUGUUGGGAAUGAACAACAGCUGACUUUUGUUGCAUCUACAUUUUGUGGAGAUAUUUAACAUAAACGGUUAGGUCAUCCUAGUCUUUCUGUUAUUUCUAUAUUUAUUAAAAAACAUAAACGGUUAGGUCAUCCUAGUCUUUCUGUCCUUUCUAUAUUUAUUAAAAAUAAUAAAAUUAUUUCAGAUAGUAAUUCUACUUUAAAAUUAUCUGUCUGUAACUCUUGUAAUAUGAAAAAAUGUAUUAAACUCUAUUUUCAUAGUUCAGAAUCUCAGUCUACUUUUUUCUCUCAUAUUGCUCAUUCUUAUGUACGGCAAUCACUUAUUCUCUCGGUCUCAGGUUAUAAAUAUUAUGUUAUUUUAUCAAUAAUUACUUUCGAUUUUUUUGGCUUUACCUUUUAAAAUUUAAACAAGAGGUUUUUGACAAAUUUCUUGAGUUUAAGACAAUGAUCGAUAACAUAUUUCAUAACUCAAUCAAAAUUUUUCGAUCUGAUAAUGCUACGGAGUUUGUAAAUGACAAGUUUUCUACCUUUUGUUCACAAAAUUGAAUUAUUUAAAAAUUCUCGUCCUAAUACUUCUCAACAAAACGCCCUUCCUGAGAGAAAGUAAAGGCACUUAACUAACAUUGUUAGAAGUCUGUUGUUUCAUAGCUAGUUUGCCUCCUCGCUUCUGGGCUGAUACCAUUCAAAUUGCUAUUUUUCUUGUAAAUCGAAUUCCUUCUCUUACUAUUUUGAAAGGACGAUUGCCAUAUGAAAUUUUGCAUAGUUGUGCUUCCCCUGACUUGCAACUUGUCAGAGUUUUUUUGAUGUUUGUAUUAUCUCAAUGUAUAGGACAUUGCAACUCACAAGCUCUCUCCCCGAUAACUUCCUUGUGUCUUCUUGGGACUCUCUGAUAAAUAUGAAGGUUUUCGUUGUCUCUAUCCAAGUACUGGUAAAUUAUUUCUCGCCUUGUUAUUUUUGUUGAAACUUUUUUCUUAUUCUCGCCUCUCUAAAUUUUCUUAUUCACAUUUCUAUACUAUUUCAAAUUCUCAAAUGUUUCAAAACUCUCUUUCUAAUCAUCCCUUACUGGGUGAGAGUCCUUCCACAAUUAAUGCCAUCUUGGGCUUCUUCUUCACACGCCCUCUACUGAUGUUGGUUUAAAUACACCUGUUUUACUGUCUAAGGAUUUAUCAACAUUUUCUUCCACCUUGAAUCAUGAUGCCACAUAGGUUAGUAAUGAGAAUGAUGCCGCUGCUGCUGGUCAACCAGAACUCCGGGUCUAUAACAGACAACGCACACUUCGGCCCGCUAUUCUCCCUUCCUUUGUUGACCUAGAACCUUCCACCUCUGACCGUUCACCUUUUCCUCAGAAACUUGUUAUAGUACCCUCUACUUUACCUUCUGUACUUUCUUUACUUUCCGAAAUACAUUUUAUGCUCACCCAAUCUAUGACUGAGGGUUUAUUUGGGUCUACCUCUUUCCUGGCUUCUGCAUGUUCUAUUUUUCCUACUAAGCCUACCACGUUUAAUGAAGCUUUUCAGGAUGUAGGUUGGCGUGCUGCCAUACCUAAAAAAUUUGAUUCAUUAUUGACCAAUGCUAUUUAGGAUCUUGUUCCUCAUCCCUCUUCUGUUAAUCUCAUUAGCCGUAAAUGGGUGUAUAAAAUCAAGUAGAAGGCGGAUGGUUCUCUUAAGCGUCUCAAAGCUCGACUUGUGGCUUAGGGUUACAAAACAGUAACAAAGUAUUAAUUUUGAUAAGACCUUUUCUUCGGUUGUCAAAUUGACCGCUUUUUGUACUGUUCUUUCGGUUGCUUUCUCCUCUAGGUGGUCCCUUCGCCAACUUGAUGUGAAGAAUACCUUUCUUCAUGGAUCUCUCUCCGAAGAGAUUUAUAUGAAACAACCACAUGGUUUUGUGCAUACUUCUCUUCCUCAUCACAUUUGUCGUCUCUGCAAAGCCAUUUAUGGUCUCAAGCAAGCACCUCGGGCCUAGUUUCAAUGGUUUACUUUUUUUUUUUUUUAAAUUAGUUUUGUUGGAAGCAUUGCUGAUCCCUCAAUGUUCGUUUGUCGUUUCUUUUCUGGCACUCUUGUUGUUCUGUUAUAUUUUGAGGAUAUUAUUGUCACCGGAAGCUCCUCCUCUCUUUUAGAGGCUCUUAUCACCACCUUACAACUGAAAUUUGCUAAAACGGAUCUAAGGCACUAUAUUAUUUUUUGGGCAUUGAGGUUAAUCGCUCAUCUUCUAGUCUUUAUCUAACUCGGUAAAAAUAUGCGCAUCAACUGCUUCAACGACAUGGCUUUCUUGAUAGUAAGCCUGUUUCUACUCCUCUCUCUCCAACCUCUCGUCUCUCUUCUAUGUGGGGCAUCCUCCUUGCUUAUCGUUAGAUAGUUGGUGCUCUACAGUAUCUUAGUUUUACAAGACCAGAUAUCUUGUACGCCAUCAAUUCUAUUGCUCAGUAUUUACAUGUACCUUGUGAACCACACAUGCAAAUGGUCAAGCAUAUUCUAUGUUAUAUUCGAGGGAUGUUAUCUUAUGGUAUUCCUGUCUCCCUCUACUUUCGGGUAUUGCAUCUUUCUAGGGCCCAAUCUUAUCUCCUAGUCGGCUAAAAAAUAGCUUACUAUUUCUCGUUCCAUUUUUGAAGUAGAGUAUCGCGCUACGGCCUACAUGCUUACUGAGACAGUAUGGAUUUGUCGCCUGUUUCGUGACCUUGGGAUUUUCUUAUGGCGCUCCAUUAGCAUUUAUUAUGAUAAUCUUAGCAGAGCCUAUCUUGCGGCCAAUCUUGUCCUUCAUUGCUUGAAUGAAAAACAUUGAACUUGUCCAUCAGUUUUUGCGUGAAAAAGUCCAGUCUGGUGAUUUGGAAUUCGUUCAUAUCUCUUCUGAUAAGAAACUUGCUGACAUUUUCACCAAACCUCUAUUAUCCUCUUGGUUUUUGGUAUUGCGGCUCAAUCUACACAUCCAACUAAUGGGUGCUUAGCUUGCGAGGGGAUGCUACGAUUUGUUUGGUAUAAUUAUUCUAUAUUACGAUAUUGUAUAUUACCGACAUAUAUAGUGUAGAAUUAUAUAGUAAAGGUGUCCAAAUUAUCCGAUAUCCCAUACCCGAUCCGGACCUUACCCGGACCCGAACCGGACCCGAUAAAAAAUGAAUAAUAUACGGAUAAAAAAAUUACCCAUUAAAGUUUCGGGUAUGGGUCCGGAUAUUUUAUACCCAUGUUCGAUUUGGACCCGAUCCGAACCCAACUUUUAAAUGGGUAGGGUCCGGAAUAGUUUUCAAAUCCGGACCCGGACCCGGACCCGGACCCGGACCCGAUGAAAUAUCUGAUAGUAAAUAAAAAAUAAAAUAAAAUUUUGAAGUUGAAGGAUCAAUUUUAAUAUGACUUAUAGAUGAUGAGUCACUAUGUAUUUUCAUCCUAAUGAAAUCCUAGCCGUCUCUUUUACUCAUUACUUUUUCCUAAUUUUUUUACUCUUUGUUUUCUACCCCUUUUUUUUUCUUUUGAAUGAAUUUUAUUGGAAGGUACAACUUAAUAGAAUGCGAGUUUUUUUAUGGCUUGCUUUAUAGUUUGUUCACAGACUAUUUAAUAAAGUUUAUAAAAAAAAUAUACUUAUACGGAUAUCCGUAUCCGAUCCAUAUCCGGUCUUGAACGGAUAGUAUACGGGUAGUCACUACCCAGACCCGCUCAAAUAGACCCGAUGGAUAUAUUAAUAACUUUAAUACCCAGACCCAGACCCGACCCGAACUUAAAUGGGUAGGGUAUAUAUAUAUUUUUCUAACCAUUCCUUUUUAGGGUAUGGGUACAGUAUAUUAAUUAUCCAGGCCCGACCCGGUCCACGAACAUCUUUAUUAUAUAGUAUGUAAUCCUAAUUGUAUUAUUAUUGUAGUCGACAUUGUUACUCUUGUACUAUAUAUUUUCAUCAAUACAACUCUUUUGCCGAUCUUUCACAUAUUCCCUCUCAUUUGCUGCACCAAAUUAAUGGAAUAAGGGGGAUAUUUAUAAUAGUGGCCAAAUUCUAAUACAACUAGGAAUACAAAUGUAACGUAUCGAAACCUCGAUAAAAAUAGCAAACUUUAGCCAAAUUGGUUAAAGUGCCGAGAGAAAGGGAUGGACAAAGUCCGGUUGACAUUCCAACAAUGUUGGAAGGGUCAAAGUUGAGUCCCGAGAGUGUUAAGCAAGUUUUAGCAUUGCUCGGCGCGAUUUAAAAGUGAACAAUGCGAAAGAAAUAGUUGGACAAGUUCCAUUCAGCAUUCCAACAAGGUUGGAAGGGCUAAAAAUGAGUUUAAGAGGUGUUAGAAAGGUUUUAGUAUCGAUCAGCGCGAAGUAGAAUUGAAAACAACGCAAAACAAGCAUUCUGGGCAAAGUGUACCGGUACAACCACCGAGUUGUCACCGGUACAGCCCUACAGCCCGAGAAGAGUAAGCUCUCGGGUUUGAAAAAAAUUGAAAGUGUACCGGUACACUUUGAAAAUGUACCGGUACAAACCCCGCGUAACCGAGAACCUUGCUCUCGGGUUGCCUCUGCGCAGAAAAUGUACCGGUACAAAAUCCCGUGUACAGGUACACUUUAGUUUGGCAACAAGGAAUUGGUCUAUUGCAAAUACAAAUGUUUGGGGGGCUUUGUUGUAAUUGUUGCACACUAUAAAUGAACCCAAACUCUCCCCUUCACAGCAAACACCCUUGCACUCUCUCUCUCUCUCAUUUCCCUCUUUCUCUCUCUAGAGAUCUUGCUCUAGGGCAAGGAGAAGGUGGAGAAGAAGCUUGGAGGGGAGAUCUUGGUGGAUUUGGAGGCUUUAGAAGCUCUCCUACAAGGUGGACUUGGGGAUAGCUUUUGGCUAAGGUGAGUCUUAGUGCAAAAGCUCGUCUAGGGUUUGGAUAUAUUUGUACCCUAGGAAGCUAGAUUUUGGAGUUUCUACAAGUGUAGAGACCUUCUUGAGGCCAUGAACACCAUGAAAUCCAUGGGUGCUUCAUGAGCUCACAUGGUGAAAAGCUAGGGUUAGCUUUUGAUGCCCUAGGAAUGGUUGGAAUGGUUUAGGAAUGGUUUAGGAAUGGCAUUAGAGAGCUCCUUGGGUGGUUCUAAGCUUGAUUUUGCUUAGCUACAAGAUCAAUCCUAAGAAAUUUGAUAUAUGGCAUUGUUAGAGCACCAAAUUGGGGGCUUUUGCCUCCGAAUGUUUCUAAGACAAAUUGACCUUGUAGAAAUUUAAUUGGGGGUAUUCCCGACACGUUGGGCAACUCCGUUUGACGUUACGAAAAGGUCUAGAUAAAGUUAUUGAGAAAAAGCCUAAUUUGGCUUCAUUUUGCCGCAGGCGAAAAAGUAGAGUUUCAAAAAUUUCAAGAAAUUCACCGUAGCACCUUUGCAAUCAUACAAGGUGGGUGGUCCAAUCCGAAGACCUCGGAAUUCAUUUUAUGUCUAAAGUGUCAUAUUUGAGCAUAUGUGUAUUGAACAUAAAAAUUGCAUAGUAGAGUUAUAUGUGAGCAUUUCAUUGCAUGUUGUGAGUACAAAUGCAUGUGAGUUACUAGCAAGAAUGUGAGAAUUUUAUAAACCCUAUUUAUGCAUGACAAGUGACAAGAACUUAGUGGAUUUAGUAAACAAAUGUGACAUCUUGACAUAGAAGUAGAAAAUGACAUUGAUGAGUCGAGAAUGCUAGAGUUGGAACACUUAGAAACAAGUGUGGCGUGUGUACAAGAACAUAGUAGUGUAUAUGACACUAGUGAAAGUAGAAUGCAAGUAAAUGUGUGAUAGUGACAUUAUGACAAUUUCAACCUUAGAGUUAAGGGUCAUAUGUGUAUUGUUUCCUUAUAGUUAAGGACUAGAUUGAACUUGACAUCCUUAUAGUUAAGAAUUGGAUCAUACUCACCUAUAAGUCCUUGCUCGAGGGUGGUAGCUCCUCCUCGGGCGAUGUGCUCCGGAGUUGUCAUUACUGGGUGUAGUAGUCUCCCCAGAGGACGGUCCCGUCUGGUGUAGUAGUCUCCCCGAUUUUUGGAAUUUGAGUUGGUGAGUCUAUUGUGGGCGAAACCUACGGGCUAGCCUAGAGAUUGGGUUCUGAGCAGUGACCUUGCAUUCAUUAUGAGUACUUUAUUGAGCAUAGCAUUAUUUAUUGUUCAAGCAUAUUAGCUGCAUUUGCGUUAGCUUGGUUACUAUCUAUUUAUUCUUCUAUUAUGUCUAAUUUAGACCUAGUGGGAAAGUCGGCGUGGUCGGUUGCCGAACCCACUGGGAACUUUGUUGUAGUUUUCACCCCACUAUUUUCACAGAGCCUGGACCGAGCGAGCCAGCGGACGAUCGCGGUAAAGGUAUCGCGCCAAAGAUAGAGACCUCCCGGGCUGAUUCCCUUUUGUAGUUGCAUACCUUUAUACUUCACCUUUUGUAUUUUGAUGACUAUAGAUGUUAAAGGAAAAGAAUAUGAAUGAUGUAAAAGACAUUCUAUAUUUCAAUGCAAGAACUUAUAUUUUGAGAUCAUGUGAUGUAAAAGAGAAGAAAUGAUGCAAAAAUGUAAAUGAUUUCGUAAGUGUAGUUUACUACUUUCACUAUUGGCUAUCGCUUGCCCUCGUGCAGGCCUUUGUGUAUGCUUUCGUUUUGUACAAAAUUCAUAUUCUAUUUGUACAGGAAGUUGAGCCUUGGGCGGACAGGAAAAACUCUGUCCGUUCGGCGUCUGUUCGACGCACUCGAACCGGCCAAAAGGAUCGGGCUCGGGGCGUGACAACAAACCCCCUAAGACUAGAAAUUGUUAAAUAUAAAAAUAUUUAAACAUCAUUCUCUAUCAACUUAAGUCUUUGGAGUACAUCGAUUGUUUCACAUGAUAUCAGAGUAGGAGGUUUUGAGUUCGAGUCAUGUUAUAUCCUAGCAUUAUUAAUUUUCUCCCAUUUAAUUCAAGUCCACAUUAUAGGCCUACAAAAAAUCUCGAGCCCAAACGCGAGAGGGAGUGUUAAAUAUAAAAAUAUUUAAACACCGUUUUCUAUUAACUUAAGUCUCUAGAGUAUAACGAUUGUUUCACAUACAUAAUCUUAAUAAGAUUAAGAAUAAUUAAAUAUAAUUUAAUAGGAUAAUCAAAAUGGAAUAGGGCUAGAAAACCCUGAAGGUUCUAGAAUUUGAGACGUAUCUAACAAUCCCCAUCUUGACUUGAAUUCUCUGUCUUCUCCACCAAAACCCCCAAAUGCUCCCGAAGUGUUGUUGCACAUGCAAACCAAGUUUACAAAGUACUUGAACUUGAUUACCGAAAAACUUAAUGAGCAAAUCCGUGAGGUUUUCUGAAGUGCCAAUCUUCUCAUCUUUAAUAACGCCUUUUGCAACCUCUGUUGCAUUAGAACAACAACUUGUUGUAGAGAGAAAAUGUUGAUGCAAUCAAAUUUCUAGAUCUCAAAUUUUGUUGAUGCCUUAAACGCCCAAACGAACAAUCAAGCUUUGAUACCAGUUUAUUAGAACAAAAGUGGAGAAGAUCUAGUUUGUCGUGUGCGAAAGUACCAAAGAGAUCAAGAAAAAGAGAAGAAAAAUAAAACAUAUAAUAUUUACGUGGUUCGGCCAUUGGCCUACAUCCACAGGUAAAGACGUAGAGGAGAUCUUCAUUAUAAUCAAAGUGGUGUACAAAAUAAGACUCUCUCGCAAAACCCUAAUUCUAAAUAAUACACCUAUACUCCCUCUCAUUUGCCGCACCAAAUUAAUAGAACAAAUGAUAUAUUUAUAAUAGUGGCUAAAUCCUAAUACAACUAGAAAUACAAAUCCACUAAGACUAGGAAUAAUCUUAAUAAGAUUAGACAUAAUCUAAACAUAAUUUAAUAGGAUAACCAAACCGGAAUAGGGCUGGGAAAUUCUUGCGAUUCCAGAAUUCGAGACAUAUCUAACAACGUUUUAUAAAGAGGUUGAAUCUAUCACUUUAUAGUAUCAGAUCCUUCAUGGAGUCUGAAAUUGAAGAUUUCGCCUUUCCUUCGCAUUUUCAUUUGAUCUGGGAUUAGGGUUUCUGUUGACACAUAAUGUAUUUGUGAAAUAUUCAUUGCUGUGUCAAAAUCUAGGGGUUCAAUCAAGAGAAAGAUCUGUUAGGGCUUCCGUAUUAGAGGAUUUGGCUGAAAGGAGGAGAAAGAGAAGACCUAAGGUUUUCGCUACUGAUUGCCAUCAACUUCAAAUUGCCGCAUGUUCAAAUCAGCACUACAACAAAAAUGGUGUAUGUCGACACUUUUAAAUAUCAGUAUAUAUCAAAAAAAGUGUUGCUGGCUAAAUUACCGGCAUUUUUUAUAAGUGUUGCUAUAUGUGGGGUCGCUAUAUGUGGGGCCACCUCAAUAUUUGGCACCUACUCCUCCAGCGACCUGUGGCAGAGAGACACAUGGCGAUUAUAGCCCUCUACAAUCCUGAUGAGAUUCUCGUGGCCGAACUUCAGCCGCCGGAACCCUACCUCGUCAGCUGCGCCGGCGGAGAAGAAGAAGGGGUGAUGGUGAUCAAUUUUUUUUUUUUUUUCCUUUUCUAUUUGUAUUUGGGCCGAGUGAGCUGGGUGGGGUUGGUUGAGUAGAGAAACUUUUUACUUUUGAUUGGAUUGGGCUUUAUAUUUAUGCCUUAUUAGAUUUUUUAAAAGAGUUUUGGUAUAAAUAGGACACACAAAAGUGUUCCAAAAAUGUGUCCCUGUAAUCUAAUUUAAGUAAGCGAAAAUAUGCAUAUUUUUUCUUCUUAUAUUUUGGAUUAUAAAAAAGCAUCAACCAACUCAAGUAUCCAACAGGUAGCUAACAAAAUUGAUUUAAUCAAUCAAUUAAAAAAAACAAACCUAAUCUAAACAGCUUCUUCUUAAACUUAGUUGAGCAGAUAUUUGUUUCAGACUAACGUAGUCGAAUAUACAUAUUAAUCCAAACCAAGCUGAGCCGUUAACCCAAUCUCCAGCUAGUCUAAGAUCCUAAGCCGUUUGAGAGCUGCUUCGAGUUAUAAUCAAGUAGACUUAAGCCUAAUUUAAGCCAAUUUGAACCCAGCUAAGUUCUUCUGAUUUAAGGAAAUUAUUUAAGUCAAAAUUUUCUUCUUAACCUAUUUUUGGCACAUGGCACCUAAAAAAGAUUUUGAAAAAUCUAUAAUUCUGCUCCAUAUAUGAUGGCCAAUUAGACGAGGGCAGAGCGCGCAAUAUUUGAUGGUGCAUGAUAUGAAAAGAUAACGCAUCAAAUUCAAGAAAUGGAUCAACGUCAAAAAUCAGCAAAUUCAAACCGUGGCAAACUUUCAGGCCUAUAUGACGCGUAUGAAGUAACAAAACAAUAUGAUAGUGCAACAUUACAAAAUGAUAGAGCAACAAAAUAAAUUAGUGCAGUCCCAUGUGCCACAAAUGAAUUAAUUAGUCAUUUAAAACCUUAAGCGCAAGCUUUCGAUCCAAAGAUAGUACCUCGACAUCAAUACUAGAAAUACCAUGUGACACUCCAUAGUCUCACAUCGGAUGAGAAUGGAGUUAUGAAUGGCUAUAUAAGAAAUCACGGAUACUAGUAAUAAUAACUGAGCUGAAGUAUUUUGAGUCGGUGGUUUGAGUCUAACGAGUUAUUAUUGCUAGCCGGGUCGUUACAUACUAAGAGCAGACGAUGAAUACUAGCCUACGGGCACCUGCAUCCAUGAUGUCAUGGGGUUGUUGAAACUUGGAUUGCUCGACUUGGUUUUCCAAAAUUUGAUGGUUAAGAUUUAGGAAGUAGAGCAAUUUUUCGACUAUCAUUAGAUUGCUGAGGAUGAUAUAUAGGGUCACAUUAGAGGUGAUCUACUUACAGAGGACACAAUUCGUCGGUAUAAGUGGUAUACAAACCAACUAGGUGGCCAACCUGGCAACAAUUUUCACGAGGCGCCCUCAUUAAACGCGCGUGUUGGACCAUCUAGAUAUGAGAAUUUUAAUAUGCCGUUAUAUAUAAUAUCGAACAUAUAUAAGAGUUUGGUACAGAAAUAUCAAGCAGAAUUUGAACGAUGGGAUAAUAUAUAUGGUGUGAGAUUGGCCCCGAAGUGGCCUCAUCGGAGCUUUUAUCGGUGGUUUGCAUAAAGAUAUCAAAAUUGAAGUGCAAGCAGCAGACCUCGAGUCAUUAUUAGAUUCUUGUGAUGAGGCCAGAGCAAUGGAAGAGUGUUGCAAGUGGCUCCAGCCAUACUGCGGUGGGUCUUCUUCUUAAUUGAAUUCUCGACAAACUUCCUCUUAUUCAUCCUUUACUCAACACACUAAUCCACCAUAUCAAAAGUCUAAAGGACAAGAGCUGAUAACAACAAGCUCCAACAAGCCAAAUUUACAAAUAUGUAAAUUAACACGGGCAUAAAUUCGUGAACGAUAAAAGUAAGGUCUCUAUUACUAUUGCGAUGGAAUAUAGAGCCCUAAGUACAAAUAUAAGAUGCUUCAUCUGUACAUCGCUAUAGACAAUCCAUGUGGAGACCGUUAUGAAGACGAAGAUAGGGUGGAGAUUCAGAAGAAGUUGAUGACACCUUGAGGAUAAGUUGAUGACACCUUGAGAUCCGAACAAGAUCUACCAAAAGUUUUCUAUCGUGCAUAUCUCAGACUCUCUCCUGAUCGAUCCUGACUAAAAGGUAUCAAAAGGCAAAUCACACCUUGAGGAUAAGUUGUGUCUCAAGGGGGAGGGAAUUGACACAAUUAGAUUUUAGAUAUUACUAUAUUAGUAUUCACUAUUUAAAUCAGAAUCUUAAUUUACAUCCAGUAGAUUAGGGUUUUCUAUUCAGAUUAUAUUUUGAAUUAGGAUUAUUAUUUUUAUCAAGGCUUAGUAAUCAUAGGCCAAGUCCUUAUCGAUCAUCGUUUAAUUAAUUAAUAGAUAAGAGAGUUCUCUUACUGGCUUCUAGAUUACGUUGAGUUAGAAGAGGAGGCUUCUCUUCCCCUUGGAGCGUGGAAGCGUUUAAUAGAGGUGUUAAGUCUAUCAGAAAGAUUUUGUAUGUAAGAUCAGUAGGUAGAUCCCAUCCCUUCUCCAAGUAAAUUAAGCAUCAUAUAUGAAAUAAUAAUAAAGCCAUCUUUUGAGAAAUAGAUCUCCAGGGCCUUUAUGUUCAUUUAUGAAGCUAACUCAAGAGAAUAGUGUUCGCAUGGCAAUCAAUUUGUGAGGACUUGAAAGAGAUUGCGAAAGCAACCCUUUUCUUGCUAAUUAAGUUUGUCGAUCGAUCCCAAGGAGUCCGGGAAUCCUUUUUUCAGCUAAAGAUUUUAAAACCAAGUAGCACGUCGCAUGCGACACAUAUGGUGUCGUCGCAUUUACUGUGACAAGCAUGGUUAGUCAAGAUGGUAAAAUAUUCUAGUUUUUGUUUCCUUUUCAAUGAGAUUAGGAUGUUUCUAAACUGCAUAAUCUUCUGAAGUUAAUUAUAAAUAGCAGCUUCUGAAUAAAUGGUUGUCAUGAAAAAGAACUAUAUUAUGUAAGUUAGUUUUCAUAUAUAUCUAUACCUGCCAAUGUACAUAUGUUUGUGUGGUUAUAACUCGAAGAUUAUAAUUAUAACUUUCAAAAACGGCAUAGAUUGAUUUGUUUAAGAGUACACAAUUUUCACACUAGAAAGAGCUUUCCAUACAAAAAAGAACACUGUUAACUGAAAUGUUUAUGUAUAAACAAUUUUCAUGUCAAACCUCACUUUUUUAGUGUAAAGAUAAGAAGAAUAGCAAGAUACAUAUAUGCAUGCGACGCAGGCAAAAGGCUGCAUGACUAAGAUGCAUGGAGAAGCAGAAGGGCAGAAAAAAGGAUAAUCGAUAUUUUCUGAGAGAUGAGAACAAAAAAUUAAUAAACUAAUCUCCUUCCACAGUAAGUUUCGGUCCUAGCUAGUUAUAAUAAAUUAAGAAAUUUAAAUAUUAUUCUAAAUCAAAUCCUAAAAUUUAGUGAUUUUCCUAUUAGAAAUAUAUCUAAUCUUAAUUUAAAAUUUUCAAAACUAUAUCCCUAAAUUUUAAACAUUUAUUCCUUAUAGAAAAAUUCUAAAAAUCUAAAAAAACAUUAAAACAAAAUUACCAAAAAAUAAAAAUUCUGAAAUUUUAAAAAAAUUAAAUCUAAUUAUUUUUUUUACUGCAUUAGUACGUAUAGGAUAAUUUGAAUGCUAUAUUAUUAUAUGUUAUAUAUGGAGGGGUACAAGCAAAUAUACUAAAUUUCGGAAAGUAUAGACGUAAAUUACAACUUUUCAAGGAUAUGCGUAGGAAUAUGUAUAUCACUACAAUAAUGUUAUUCAUUAUAUCAAUUUAAUUACAUCGAAAAUUAAUUUAUUACAAAAUAUAUUUUAUUGUACAACUUAUAUAAUUUUUGGUGCCAUGCACCUUCUCUCAAUAGUGUGUGUAUAUAUAGAAUUAGGCUGGAAUACUAUUAAUAGUAAAACACUCUUUUGCUAUCAAGUUUUUAACCUUUGGAUGAAAAAUUGUAGGGUCAGGAUGAUAUUAGUCGGUUAGAGUUGAGCGGUCCCCCUAGGGUUGAGUGGUCCCCACUGGGUUAUAGUAUUUAAUCCAAUGGUUAGAAAUAAUGAAAAGAGUUGAUACAAAGGCUAAAAAACUGGUAGCAACAAUGGGAUUUUGCUACUAAUAGUAGCCUAGUCCAACUCUCUCUCUCUCUCUCUCUCUCUCUCUCUCUCUCUCUCUCUCUCUCUCUCUCUAUAUAUAUAUAUAUAUAUAGGCUGGGGCUACUAUACUCUUAUAAGUAUAGACCCCCUUAUACUCAUAAAUUUUUAACCGUUGAUUGAUGGGAUGUGUGGUUAAGAUGAUGGUGGUCCCCACUUAGAAUGAUAGUGGUCCCCUAGUGUUGAGUGGGUAGUUAGUUGAAUAGUAUGAUCUAACGGGUAAAAAUGAUCAAUUAAAUAAAUUUAAGGGCCGAAAACUUAUGAGUAAAAGAGAGCCAAUACUCCUAAAAGUAUAGUAGGCAGACUAUAUAUAUAUAUAUAUAUAUAUAUAUAUAUAACAGCACCAAGUUAUUAGUGCUAUUAGUUUUUUAGCCCUUGGAUUGAGAAAUGUGCGAUUAGGAUGAUAUGGGUCCCCUAGUGUUGAGUGAGUUGUUCGUUGAAUAGUAUAAUCUAACGGAUAAAAAUAAUCAAAGGAUUAAAUCUAACGGUGAAAAACUCAAUAGCACCAAGCGCUUGGUGUUAUCGAGUUUUUGACUGUUAGAUUUAAUCUUUUGACUAUUUCACCCGUUACAUUAUGCUAAACCAACAACUCACUCAACCCUAGAGGGCCCACAUCAUUCUAAACGUACAUUCUUUCAUCCAAGGGCCAAAAACCUAAUAGCACCAAUAGCUUGGUGCCAUUGAUAGUAUUCCAGCCUAGUUCUAUAUAUUUCUAUAUAUUCCAGCUUGUAAUAUAUAGAACUAGGCUGGAAUACUAUCACUUGCACCAAGCUAUUGGUGCAAUUAGGUUUUCGGCUCUUGGGUGAAAGAAUGUACGUUUAGAAUGAUGUGGGCUCUUUAGGAUUGAAUGAGUUGUUAGUUGAAUAGUAUAAUGUAAUGGAUGAAAGUAAUCAAAGUAUUAAAUCUAAUGGUGGAAAACUCGAUAACACCAAGCGCUUGGUGCUAUCGAUAGUAUCCCAGCCAGACUCUCUCUAUAUAUAUAUAUAUGUGUGUGUGUGUGUUACAACUUCAAUGACAUUCUUCAUUCAUAAAGCGAAAAAAAAGAAGAAAAAGAAAAUUCUUCACUUUUUUCUUCAUUUUUUCCUCAUUAAUGAGCAGUUUAUGCAUGGACCGAUAUUCCAAACUUUAAGUUAGGUCAUUUUCCUAAUCUCCUAGAAUUUUACUUAUAAUAGCAAUUGGCCAGUUCUCAUAUUGUUUACUUCUCUAAGAGGCAAUUCUCACAUCUUUGGUGCACAAACUUUUGUCUCACACUUCUUAUAUUAGAAAAAAAAAAAUCAUAUGAAAGGAAAAUCUCCUAGUGUAUUCAAAAAAAUAUAUCAUGUGUAUUGGAUUUUUUAUGGUAUGGUUUUCAUACUUGUCAUUUUACAUGGGACAUGCUUGCAUGAAAACAUGCCUAUGCAUAUACGUUUACAUAUACAUAUACAUGUGUGUGUUCCUUUGUGUUCGGUAAGACCUUUAUGCCACUAGUGACAUUGACAAAACUACCCCUCAAGAAAAACUUAGUAUAAGUAAGAUAAAAUAAAGAAGUAGGAAAAGAGAAAAGGGAGUAAUGAUGACACAAGGCUCGUGCGUAACCAUAACGUUGUGCGACAAAGAUUUGACACAGCCACACAGUGUUCAAAUAUUUUGCGUUGUUUAGUAGCCUGCCAAGGUUCUUACUCAUAAAAUAUACUUAUUUAUUAAGUUCACUGAAUUAGCGCCUAAGAAGUCAAACUGCUAAUGAAUAAAUUAAAUGGAAACAAACUAACAAAAGCAACACAAGAGAGUUAUUGUCACUACUCGAGUUCUAUCCUCUUAUCUAUGGUCACUUGUCCUUUUCUCUACCACCUCUAUAAAAGCCUACAUUAGCAACACUCUCUUACAUGAAUUGAAUAAGGGUUUUUCACUGCAAAUUGGUUCCGUUUCUCCCCAACAGUCUUAGCCUGUCUCCUUCAUGGAGCAAGCAUCUAAAAGCGCUAACGAAUUAAAUGGUUUCAAGGUUAUGGUUGUUGAUGACAAUCCAACAUGCCUUUUGGUCAUCUCAAAAAUGCUUGCCCAAUUUGAUUUUAGAGGUACAUUUCAACAUUGUAAGAUACUUUUGUAUAUAUGUUUAGUCUCCUAGCUAUAGGGAAGCUAAUGUGAUUUGUUCAAUUUUGCUACUUUUUAUAUAGUUACUGUUGUGUUUGACUUCUCUUUGUUUCUUGUUAUAAUUAAUUAUAUUUUGAUCCUUGACAGGCUUAUAUUUGAUUCUCUAAACUUUCAGUCCUUUGUUGCUACCUUGGUUUUCCUAAAAUUAUCCUAAUCUCUCGUCUCUUUGAGUUCUCUGUCUUUUUUUUUUUGAGAUCGAUCUUUUAUUUUAUUUUAUUUUAUUUUUUUGGAUCUUACCUAAAUAGCAUAUAUGAGAGAAAGGUAGGCAUGUUACCCGCUUCUUCAUUGAACGUGUUGUGCUUCGUCGUUACGUUGUUUUUCUUGCUAUUCUAGUCUCUUUUGUGUUUGAUUAUUUGUUUGAUCUUACGAGUUACGAAAGCAAUUUAUUCGGUUAUUAAAACCGUAGUAAUUUGUCGGUAUCUUGUUUUCCUUGAUUUUUAAUUUUUCGAGUCUCUAGAAGAUAUAAAAGA